AGAACAUUGCAAGACAGGAGUCAUCUGAUUAACACAAGAUCCACAGCAAUGGAGACAUCUCUGUGCAUUUUCAUAUCGGUUUUCUGUUUAGCAAGUGUCCAGUCUCAAGAACAACUUGUCCAGUCAUCAGACCCAGUGGUGAUAAAGCCUGGGAAUUCCCAUAAACUCUCAUGUAAAGCGUCUGGAUUCUCCAUGAGCAGUUAUUGGAUGAGCUGGGUCAGACAGACUCCUGGAGGAGGAUUACAGUGGUUGUGUCAGAUAUAUUCAGGAAACACAUAUUAUGCUGAUGUGAUUAAAGGGCGAUUCACAAUCUCCACUGAUUACAGUAAUAACAUGGUAUAUCUACAAAUGGACAAUGUGAAGGCUGAGGACACUGCUGUGUAUUACUGUGCUAGAUACACACUGAUAGAUAUAAUCCCAUGUCCAAAGCAAAAACUAAAUAAUGUACAUUCAGUGUAACUUCCAGUAGGUGGC